rnacentral:SRP_RNA from 1 species
ACCGGUGCUUUGGCGAGUGCCUGUAGUCCCAGCUACUCGGGGAGCUGAGGUGGGAGGCUUGCUUGAGCCCAAGAGUUCUGGGCUGUAGUGCGCUAUGCUAAUCGGGUGUCUGCACUAAGUUUGGCAUCAAUAUGGUGACCUCCCGGGAGCAGGGGACCACCAGGUUGCCUAAGGAGGGGUGAACCGGCCCAGGUCGGAAACAAAGCAGAUCAAAACUCUGGUGCUGAUCAGUAGUGGGAUCACUCCUGUGAAUAGCCACUGCACUCCAGUCUGGGCAACAUAGCAACACCCCAUCUCA